ACACAGGCAGGAUUGCAAGGAUGAAGGCCCGAGGUCUUCCUUAGGAUCUUCAAAGAUUUCACCGAAGAACCAGCAUGUGUCCCUGACCUGAUGGAAUGUGUCCUUACCAGGAUAAAAAAUCGAUGCAAUACUGUUGGAAAGUGACCCCAUGGUUUGAAGCAAACCAAAUUAUACGUUAAAGCAAAAAAUUACCUCCAGAAUAAACGCUAAGCACAGUGACUGUCUACAAAGGCCAUGUUUUAAGCAUUCGCACUCCAGGACCCUGGGCUUAGUGGCACAUUAGA
rnacentral:lncRNA from 1 species